rnacentral:rRNA from 1 species
GACGAACGCUGGCGGCGUGCUUAACACAUGCAAGUCGAACGCUGAAGCUCAGCUUGCUGGGUGGAUGAGUGGCGAACGGGUGAGUAACACGUGAGUAACCUGCCCUCUUCUUUGGGAUAACGCCCGGAAACGGGUGCUAAUACUGGAUAUUCACUGAUUCUCGCAUGGGGGUUGGUGGAAAGGUUUUUUCUGGUGGGGGAUGGGCUCGCGGCCUAUCAGCUUGUUGGUGGGGUGAUGGCCUACCAAGGCUUUGACGGGUAGCCGGCCUGAGAGGGUGACCGGUCACAUUGGGACUGAGAUACGGCCCAGACUCCUACGGGAGGCAGCAGUGGGGAAUAUUGCACAAUGGGCGAAAGCCUGAUGCAGCGACGCCGCGUGAGGGAUGGAGGCCUUCGGGUUGUAAACCUCUUUCGCUCGUGGUCAAGCCGCAGCUUUGGGUUGUGGUGAGGGUAGUGGGUAAAGAAGCGCCGGCUAACUACGUG